AACAGUGGAAUGCACCUAGCUGA
rnacentral:miRNA from 1 species